rnacentral:rRNA from 1 species
AGCGAACGUUAGCGGCGGGCCUAACACAUGCAAGUCGAACGAGAAUGAGGGGCAACUCCUCUAGUAAAGUGGCGGACGGGUGCGUAACACGUGGGUAAUCUACCUUCCAGCGGGGGACAACCGUCCGAAAGGAUGGCUAAUACCGCGUACGUCGGCGAGGGCUCCGGUCCUUGUCGCGAAAGACGGCCUCUUCUCGAAAGCUGUCACUGGAAGAUGAGCUCGCGGCCCAUCAGCAGUUGGUGAGGUAACGGCUCACCAAGGCUAAGACGGGUAGCUGGUCUGAGAGGAUGAUCAGCCACACUGGAACUGCGACACGGUCCAGACUCCUACGGGAGCAGCAGUGGGAAUAUUGGGCAA